rnacentral:rRNA from 1 species
CCUGGCUCAGGAUGAACGCUAGCUACAGGCUUAACACAUGCAAGUCGAGGGGCAGCAUGGUCUUAGCUUGCUAAGGCCGAUGGCGACCGGCGCACGGGUGAGUAACACGUGUCCAACCUGCCGUCUACUCUUGGACAGCCUUCUGAAAGGAAGAUUAAUACAAGAUGGCAUCAUGAGUCCGCAUGUUCACAUGAUUAAAGGUAUUCCGGUAGACGAUGGGGAUGCGUUCCAUUAGAUAGUAGGCGGGGUAACGGCCCACCUAGUCUUCGAUGGAUAGGGGUUCUGAGAGGAAGGUCCCCCACAUUGGAACUGAGACACGGUCCAAACUCCUACGGGAGGCAGCAGUGAGGAAUAUUGGUCAAUGGGCGAGAGCCUGAACCAGCCAAGUAGCGUGAAGGAUGACUGCCCUAUGGGUUGUAAACUUCUUUUAUAAAGGAAUAAAGUCGGGUAUGGAUACCCGUUUGCAUGUACUUUAUGAAUAAGGAUCGGCUAACUCCGUGCCAGCAGCCGCGGUAAUACGGAGGAUCCGAGCGUUAUCCGGAUUUAUUGGGUUUAAAGGGAGCGUAGAUGGAUGUUUAAGUCAGUUGUGAAAGUUUGCGGCUCAACCGUAAAAUUGCAGUUGAUACUGGAUAUCUUGAGUGCAGUUGAGGCAGGCGGAAUUCGUGGUGUAGCGGUGAAAUGCUUAGAUAUCACGAAGAACUCCGAUUGCGAAGGCAGCCUGCUAAGCUGCAACUGACAUUGAGGCUCGAAAGUGUGGGUAUCAAACAGGAUUAGAUACCCUGGUAGUCCACACGGUAAACGAUGAAUACUCGCUGUUUGCGAUAUACUGCAAGCGGCCAAGCGAAAGCGUUAAGUAUUCCACCUGGGGAGUACGCCGGCAACGGUGAAACUCAAAGGAAUUGACGGGGGCCCGCACAAGCGGAGGAACAUGUGGUUUAAUUCGAUGAUACGCGAGGAACCUUACCCGGGCUUAAAUUGCAGAUGAAUUACGGUGAAAGCCGUAAGCCGCAAGGCAUCUGUGAAGGUGCUGCAUGGUUGUCGUCAGCUCGUGCCGUGAGGUGUCGGCUUAAGUGCCAUAACGAGCGCAACCCUUGUUGUCAGUUACUAACAGGUUCCGCUGAGGACUCUGACAAGACUGCCAUCGUAAGAUGUGAGGAAGGUGGGGAUGACGUCAAAUCAGCACGGCCCUUACGUCCGGGGCUACACACGUGUUACAAUGGGGGGUACAGAGGGCCGCUACCACGCGAGUGGAUGCCAAUCCCCAAAACCUCUCUCAGUUCGGACUGGAGUCUGCAACCCGACUCCACGAAGCUGGAUUCGCUAGUAAUCGCGCAUCAGCCACGGCGCGGUGAAUACGUUCCCGGGCCUUGUACACACCGCCC